rnacentral:rRNA from 1 species
UAUUGAUUGGAAGGUUUCGGCCGGAAGGUUAAUAUUCUAGCGGCGGACGGGUGAGUAACGCGUGAGCAAUCUGUCCCAGACAGGGGGAUAACAGAUGGAAACAUCUGCUAAUACCGCAUAAGACCACGAGGUCACAUGAUCUUGGGGUAAAAGGAGAAAUCCGGUUUGGGGUGAGCUCGCGUCCGAUUAGGUAGUUGGUGAGGUAACGGCCCACCAAGCCCGCGAUCGGUAGCCGACCUGAGAGGGUGAUCGGCCACAUUGGAACUGAGACACGGUCCAAACUCC